CUGGAGGUCCAGGGAGGAGCCGGUGCUCCCACUGAUGUCUUAGGUUGUGGAGCUGAAGACAAUGAAGGAGCCAGUGUGGCUGUUCUGUGAGACUCGUGGAGCUGGAGAUCCAGGUGGGAGAGGUGUUUUAGCUCGGGGAAGAGCUGAUAUUCUACCUUGAGGGUCCUGCAGCUGCAGAUCCGGGGAGGAGCUGAUGUUCUAGUUUGAGUGUCAUGCAGCUGCAGACCCGGAGAGGAGCUGAUGUUGUAGUUUGAGUGUCAUGCAGCUGCAGACCUGGAGAGGAGCUGAUGUUCUAGAUUGAGGGUCGUGCAGCUGCAGACCUGGAGAGGAGCUGAUGUUCUAGAUUGAGGGUCGUGCACCUGCAGACCCGGGGAGGAGCUGAUGUUCUAGUUUGAGGGUCUCCCAGCUGCAGACCUGGAGAGGAGCUGAUGUUCUAGAUUGAGGGUCAUGCAGCUGCAGACCCGGAGAGGAGCUGAUGUUCUAGAUUGAGGGUCAUGCAGCUGCAGACCCGGAGAGGUGCUGAUGUUCUAGAUUGAGGGUCAUGCAGCUGCAGACCCGGAGAGGAGCUGAUGUUCUAGAUUGAGGGUCGUGCACCUGCAGACUCGGGGAGGAGCUGAUGUUCUAGAUUGAGUGUCAUGCAGCUGCAGACCCGGAGAGGAGCUGAUGUUCUAGAUUGAGGGUCUUGCAGCUGAAGACUUGGGGAGGAGCUGAUGUUGUUCGCGUUGAGGGUCUUUCAGUUGGAGACUCAGGGAGGAGCUGAUGUUCUAGAAUUAGGGUCAUAGAACUGGAGCCCUGGAGAGAAGGUAAUGUUCUAGUUUUAGGUUCUUGCAGCUGCAGACCCGGAGAGGAGCUGAUGUUCUAGAUUGAGGGUCAUGCAGCUGAAGACUCGGGGAGGAGCUGAUGUUCUAGUUUGAGGAUCUUGCAGCUGCAGACCUGUAGAGGAGCUGAUGUUCUAGAUUGAGGGUCGUGCAGCUGAAGACUUGGGGAGGAGCUUUAGUUGUUCGCAUUGAGGGUCUUUCAGUUGGAGACUCAGGGAGGAGCUGAUGUUCUAGAUUUAGGGUCACGGAACUGGAGACCUGGACAGAAGUUGAUGUUCUAGUUUGAGUGUCUAGCAGCUGCAGAUCCGGAGAGGAGCUGAUGUUCUCAUUUGAGGGUCUUGCAACUGCAGACCUGUAGAGGAGCUGAUGUUCUAGAUUGAGGGUCGUGCAGCUGCAGACCUGUAGAGGAGCUGAUGUUCUAGAUUGAGGGUCCUGCAGCUGAAGACUCGGGGUGGAGCUGAUGUUGUAGUUGGAGGGUCAUGCAGUUGAGGACUUCGGGAGGAGCUGAUGUUGUUCGCGUUGAGGGUCUUUCAGCUGGAGACUCAGGGAGGAGCUGACAAUCUUGAUUGAGGUUCACGGAGCUGGAGACCCGGACAGGAGCUGAUGUUCUAGCUAGUGGAUCUUCCAGCUGCAGACCCAGAGAGGAGCUGAUGUUCUAAUUUUAGGUUCUUGCAGCUGCAGACCUGGAGAGGAGCUGAUGUUCUAGAUAGAGGGUCAUGCAGCUGAAGACUCGGGGAGGAGCUGAUGUUGUAGUUUGAGGGUCAUGCAGUUGAGGACUUCAGGAGGAGCUGAUGUUGUUCGCGUUGAGGGUCUUUCAGCUGGGGACUCAGGGAGGAGCUGAUAAUCUUGAUUGAGGGUCAUGGAGCUGGAGACCCAGACAGGAUUUGAUGUUCUAGUUAGUGGAUCUUCCAGCUGCAGACCCAGGGAGGAGCUGAUGUUCUAGUUUGAGGGUCGUGCAGCUGAAGACCCGGGGAGGAGCUGAUGUUCUAGAUUGAGGGUCGUGGAGCUGCAGACCCGGAGAGGAGCUGAUGUUCUAGUUUGAGGGUCAUGCAGCUGGAGACCUGGAGAGGAGCUGAUGUUCUAGUUUGAGGUUCUUGUAGCUGCAGACCUGGAGAGGAGCUGAUGUUCUAGAUUGAGAGUCGUGCAGCUGUACACCUGGAGAGGAGCCAAUGUUCUAGAUUGAGACUCGUGCAGCUGCACACUUGGAGAGGAGCUGAUGUUCUAGAUUGAUGGUCUUGCAGCUGCAGACCUGGAGAGGAGCUGAUGUUCUAGUUUGAGGAUCUUGGAGCUGCAGAGCCGGAGAGGAGCUGAUGUUCUACUUUGAGGGUCAUGCAGCUGGAGACGUGGAGAGGAGCUGAUGUUCUAGUUUGAGGGUCAUGCAGGUGAAGACUCGGUGAGGAGCUGAUGUUCUACAUGGAGGGUCUUGCAGCUGCAGAACUGUAGGAGAACUGAUGUUCUAGUUUGAGGGUCUUGCAGCUGCAGACCUGGAGAGGAGCUGAUGUUCUAGUUUGAGGGUCUUGCAGCUGCAAACCUGGAGAGGAGCUGAUGUUCUAGAUUGAGGGUCAUGCAGCUGAAGACUCGGGGAGGAGCUGAUGUUCUAGAUUAAGGGUCAUGCAGCUGAAGACUCAGGGAGGAGCUGAGGUUCUAGUUUGAGGGUCAUGCAGCUGAAGACUCGGGAGGAGCUGAGAUUCUAGUUUGAGGGUCAUGCAGCAGAAGGCUCAGGGAGGAGCUGAUGUUCUAGAUUGAGGGCCCUACAGCUGCACACCUGAAGAGGAGUUGAUGUUCGAGAUUGAGGGUCGUGCAGCUGAAUACUCAGAGAGGAGCUGAUGUUAUAGUUUGAGGGCCCUACAGCUGAAGACCCGGAGAGUAUCUGAUCUUCGAGAUUGAGGGUCGUGCAGCUGAAGACUCCAGGAGGAGCUAAGGUGGUAAUUUGAGGGUCUUGCAGCUGCUGACUUGGGGAGGAGCUGAUGUUCUAGUUUGAGGGCCCUACAGUUGGAAAUCUGUACAGGAGCUGAUGUUCUAGUUUGAGGGUCGUGCAGGUGAAGACUCGGGGAGGAGCUGAUAUUCUAGUUUGAGGGCCGUGCAGCUAGAGAUGCAGACAGGAGCUGAUGUUGUAGUUUGAGGGUCGUACAGCUGAAGAUUCAGGGAGGAGCUGCUGAUGUAUUUUUAGGGUCAUGGAGCUGCAGACCCGGAGAGGAGCUGAUGUUAAAGAUUGAGGGUCAUGCAGCUGAAGACUCUGGGAGGAGCUGACGUUCUAAUUUGAGUUCCCUACAGGUGGACACCCAGAGAGGAGCUUAUGUUCUAGAUGAGGGUCAUACAGCAGAAGACUCGGGGAAGAGCUGAGGUUGUAGUUUGAGGGUCGUGCAGCUGGAGAACCAGACAGGAGCUGAUGUUGUAGAUUGAGCGUCGUGCAGCUGAAGACUCGGGGAGGAGCUGAUGUUGUUUGUUUUGAGGGUCUUUCAGCUGGAGACUCAGGGAGGAGCUGACGUUCUAGAUUGAGGGUCUUGCAGCUGCAGACCCGGAGAGGAACUGAUGUUCUAGAUUGAGGGUCACGCAGCUGAAGACUUGGGGAGAAGCUGAUGUUCUAACUUGAGGGUCGUGCAGCUGAGGACUCGGGGAGGAGCUGAUGUUGACGGCUGUGCAGGUGGAGAUCCGGCGGGGAGCUGAUGUUCUGG
rnacentral:lncRNA from 1 species